rnacentral:lncRNA from 1 species
GCAAGAACAGUAAUAUAACAAUAGUCCGAAAAAAUAUCAUUCCAGUUCACAUAUCCAUUUUUCAUUCAAAGCAACAUCUCGUAAAAUUCAUAAAUCACAUAUAAAUUCAUUAACAAUUUAUUCGAUGCAAAAAUAAUAUUAUAUAAAUGAAGAGUCUAGAGAAGGCAGUUCAUUACUUACAUUGAACGCGAUCCACAACAAAUCCAAUUAAUCUCACAAAUUCCUCGCAGAACCUAAUAUCCAAAAAUCAUAUUUUCUUUUAAAAUUAAUCACAAUAUAUAUAAAAACUUAAAUUUAAUAUUUCCUCCAGGGCUGACCCUGCCAAGGUGUCUAGCACCCCGAGUUCGGGUUCGGGUUCAUACCCAUAGACCACCCUCCUUUUAUAUUAUUAUUAUUAUUAUUAUUAUUUUUCUCUCUCUCUUUCUUUUCUUUUCUUUUCUUUUUCUUUUCUUUUCUUUUCUUUUUCUUUUCUUUUCUCUUUCUUCUUUCUUCUUUUCUCUCCCGACUCUCUUCCUCUCUUUCGGCGAAACAGGGGAUCCGUCACCCCCUGCCACCCCAUCCUCUUCCCUCUCGAUCGAACCCAAGGGCGGCCACGGCGGCCGGCCUUGACAGCAGCAGGUGGUGGCGGAGCAAGCCCGACCACCUCCCGGCGGCUGGCGGCGACGAACCCGCGGUGGCGACAAGCUUACGGGCCGAAACCUCCUUUUGGACCCAAAUCCGGCGCUUGGCCGGCUCCAAACUAUCCUACAACAUGGCUAAGCAUCAAAAGAGGAGGAGAAGAAGGUGAGCGAUGCUUACCCCAACCUCGACGAAGACCGGUGGCUUUCUUUCUCUCCGGCGGCAAUGAGGAAAAAGAUCACCCGUGCUGCUCGGCUCUCCCUCUUCCUCUCUUUCUCUCCGGCAACGCGAAGAAGACCCUCCCUCUUUUCCUCUCUCUCGGCCGGCAGCGGCUCCUCUUCCCCUCUCUUCAAAGAGAGGAGAAGCCCUAAAAAAAGAAUGGGGGAGCCGGCUUCUUCGGGAUGGCUCCCCCCCUUCUCACACGCCCUCACGUGCGUCGCACGUGAGGCCAAAAAUUUGGGCUGGGCCGGUCAAUGGGCCGGGCCCAGUUUCGGAAUCUCACAGUGUGACACCGGUGCGGGGUUUGGUAUCAGUACGACGAACCUUGUAGAUUAUAAUUAUCAUCAGAGUGUUAGCUAAGGCUUAUUCUCGAUUAUUUACAUAAUUUGUAUGUUUCGCAUGUGCUAGAGAUAAUGCCUUUUUUUUUAUUAGUUCAUGGAUAUUCAACUCUNNNNNNNNNNNNNNNNNNNUCCUCCACCCCUUAAAAGAAAUUUCGUCCACGAAAUUUUCGUACAUGUAGUUCAAGAGUAGAUUAUACUUCUUCCAAACUAAGUCAUAACACUCUUCAAAUCAAAGUCGUCUUGUCUGGGGCAACUGCUGUUGCAUCUGCAUAAGGCCCACUAUGGUUUGCAUAACCUGGCCUAGGCCCGGUUCUUGUCGUCCUGUCUGAGUAUCACUAGCAGGAUUGACGACUCUCUCCUGCUGAGGGGUGUUACCAACUUGUUGGGAUGUGCUGUCAUUUUGCGGGUUGGGUGCCUUAUUAGUAGCUCUGCGAGUAGUUUUUUUCUCGUCCGACGUGGAGGCAUCCUGACCUAUGUCUAUCAGAUAGCAGCAUGCCAAUAAUAAGCUUACCAGUUCAUUACAAGUACAUGGAAUGGUUGUUACAAUCAUCAUAAACUAACGUCCCAAUGUCCCUAGUGUCUACCCACCUACACUCAUGUCAUGUCAGAUUUUUUUAUUUCAUAAUUUAUCCAAUUAUGCUCUGAUACCAUAAAAGUUGUCACGCCCCCGUCUCGAGAUCGCGAGCCGGGGGUCCGCGCCAAUCUUUUUUCAGCUGAAAUAAAUGCAAUCUUAUUCCAUUGACUAACUCAAGUCAUAGGGUUUCACAAGUCUAAAUACGCAGCGGAACAAUAAAGAUAAAACAUCAAUUUAAACAAAGCCUAAUCUAGGAUAACUUGUGCUUCAGUUCUUCUAGUCGCUCUCCCAUUUUAAAUCCCCGAUAGGUUAGUUCUCAGAAUAUUGAACGCGAUCCACAACAAAUCCAAUUAAUCUCACAAAUUCCUCGCAGAACCUCAGCCCCGGCGAAGAUCCGGCGGCUUCUUUCCGGCGGCAAACGGAGGAGGAAAAGGAUCGUCCGCGCUGUGGCUUCUCGGCUCCCUCUCUCUCCCUCUCGGGCGGCAGCGGCUCCUCUUCCCCUCCCUUCAAAGAGAGGAGAAGCCCUAAAAAGACUGGGGGAGCCGGCUUCUUCGGGAUGGCUCCCCCCCCUCUCACACGCCCUCACGUGCGACGCACGUGAGGCCAAAAUUUGGGCUGGGCCGGUCAAUGGACCGGGCCCAGUUUCGGGAUCUCACAUCCUCCACCCCUUAAAAGAAAUUUCGUCCACGAAAUUUUCGUACAUGCAGUUCAAGAGUAGAGAAAUACUUCUUCCAAAUCAAGUCAUAACACUUUUCAAAUCAAAGUCGUCUUGUUUGAUCAAUAUCAAAUAAUUCUAUUCACCACACUUUCUCUGCACACACUGGUUUAAACCUCAACAUACCCGUGUCAAGUCUAGAUUUUUUUUUUCCUAGAAUUACUUGCUUAUUGGUACAUUCAUUAUUAUGUCUUAAUCCGUGUGAACAUUUUCGAAAUUUAAAAGUUCAUAUUCUUCUUUUGACAACUAAUCAAAAAUGUUAUGUAACUAUUUAAUCUUUUCUAGUAGUAUAAUGAGUUAUCUAACAAAGAGUAGUGGGUAUGGUUAGACAAUAAAUAGAAAUAAAUAUUGGGACUAGAUUAAUACCUGUCGUCAACACAUCAGAAGCCAGAAUGGUUGUUACAAUCAUCAUAAACUAACGUCCCAAUGUCCCUAGUGUCUACCCACCUACACUCAUGUCAUGUCAGAGUAUUUUUUUUUUAAUCUUAGAAUUUAUCCAUUCAUGCUCUGAUACCAUAAAAGUUGUCACGCCCCCGGCCCGAGAUCGCGAGCCGGGGGUCCGCGCCAACCGCCGCACACCCGUAGGAAACUCUCCCCACGAGCAUGCAAGGCAUCUAAACCAAAUAUCUCAAAUAUAUAACUAAAAUAAUUCAGCUGAAAUAAAUGCAAUCUUAUUCCAUUGACUGACACAAAUUAUAUAGUUUCACAGUUCUAAAUACGCAGCGGAACAAUAAAGAUAGAACAUUAACUUAAAUAAAAUCUAAUCUAAGAUAACUUGUGUCAUAAUUUUUGUAUUCGCUCUCCCAUAUUGUAAAACCCCCGGAUCGAGCUAAUUCUUCGGAUAUUGAAUGCGAUCCACAACAAAUCCAAUUAAUUUCACAAAUUCCUCGCAGAACCUCAGCCCCGGCGAAGAUCCGGCGGCUUCUUUCCGGCGGCAAACGGAGGAGGAAAAGGAUCGUCCGCGCUGUGGCUUCUCGGCUCCCUCUUCCUCUCUUUCUCUCCGGCAACGCGAAGAAGACCCUCCCUCUUUUCCUCUCUCUCGGCCGGCAGCGGCUCCUCUUCCCCUCUCUUCAAAGAGAGGAGAAGCCCUAAAAAAAGAAUGGGGGAGCCGGCUUCUUCGGGAUGGCUCCCCCCCUUCUCACACGCCCUCACGUGCGACGCACGUGAGGCCAAAAAUUUGGGCUGGGCCGGUCAAUGGGCCGGGCCCAGUUUCGGGAUCUCACAU